rnacentral:rRNA from 1 species
CCUACGGGCGGCAGCAGUGGGGAAUAUUGGACAAUGGGGGGAACCCUGAUCCAGCCAUGCCGCGUGUGUGAAGAAGGCCCUCGGGUUGUAAAGCACUUUCAGUGAGGAAGAACGCCUGGUGGUUAAUACCCAUCAGGAAAGACAUCACUCACAGAAGAAGCACCGGCUAACUCCGUGCCAGCAGCCGCGGUAAUACGGAGGGUGCGAGCGUUAAUCGGAAUUACUGGGCGUAAAGCGCGCGUAGGUGGCUUGAUAAGCCGGUUGUGAAAGCCCCGGGCUCAACCUGGGAACGGCAUCCGGAACUGUCAAGCUAGAGUGCAGGAGAGGAAGGUAGAAUUCCCGGUGUAGCGGUGAAAUGCGUAGAGAUCGGGAGGAAUACCAGUGGCGAAGGCGGCCUUCUGGACUGACACUGACACUGAGGUGCGAAAGCGUGGGUAGCAAACAGGAUUAGAUACCCGAAUAGUC